rnacentral:tRNA from 1 species
ACGGAUGUGGUGGAAUAGGUAUACACGCUAGACUUAGGAUCUAGUUCUAUUUAUUAGAAUUAAGGGUUCGAAUCCCUUCAUCCGUA